rnacentral:rRNA from 1 species
AUUUGUCUGGUUAAUUCCGAUAACGAACGAGACCUUAACCUGCUAACUAGAUACUUUUAUUCUAUAAAUGCUAUCUUCUUAGAGGGACUAUGUAAUUCAAAUACAUGGAAGUUUGAGGCAAUAACAGGUCAGUGAUGCCCUUAUAUGUCCUGGGCUGCACGCGUGCUACACUGAUGCAUACAACAAGUGCCUAACCAGACAUGGUACGGCAAUCUCGAAUAUGCAUCGUGAUGGGGAUAGAUCUUUGCAAUUAUAGAUCUUGAACGAGGAAUUCCUAGUAAGUGCAAGUCAUCAUCUUGCAUUGACUAUGUCCCUGCCCUUUGUACACACCGCCCGUCGCUCCUACCGAUACCGGGUGAUCCGGUGAACCUUUUGGACUCAUUUGGGAAAGAUAAGUAAACCAUAUCACCUAGAGGAAGGAGAAGUCGUAACAAGGUUUCCGUAGGUGAACCUGCRGAAGGAUCA